rnacentral:sRNA from 1 species
UUGAGCUGUACGAGAUGAAAUUCUCAUAUACGGUUCUCGGAGGGGAGUUUACCCAGUUUACCUAUCUCAAU